rnacentral:rRNA from 1 species
AGGCAUCUUCUUGUUUUUAAAAGACCUAGCAAUAGGUAUGCUUAGGGAGGAGCUUGCGUCACAUUAGUUAGUUGGUGGGGUAAAGGCCUACCAAGACUAUGAUGUGUAGCCGGGCUGAGAGGUUGAACGGCCACAUUGGGACUGAGACACGGCCCAAACUCCUACGGGAGGCAGCAGUAGGGAAUUUUCGGCAAUGGAGGAAACUCUGACCGAGCAACGCCGCGUGAACGAUGAAGUAUUUCGGUACGUAAAGUUCUUUUAUUAGGGAAGAAUAAAUGAUGGAAAAAUCAUUCUGACGGUACCUAAUGAAUAAGCCCCGGCUAACUAUGUGCCAGCAGCCGCGGUAAUACAUAGGGGGCAAGCGUUAUCCGGAAUUAUUGGGCGUAAAGGGUGCGUAGGCGGUUAAAUAAGUUUAUGGUCUAAGUGCAAUGCUCAACAUUGUGAUGCUAUAAAAACUGUUUAGCUAGAGUAAGAUAGAGGCAAGUGGAAUUCCAUGUGUAGUGGUAAAAUGCGUAAAUAUAUGGAGGAACACCAGUAGCGAAGGCGGCUUGCUGGGUCUUUACUGACGCUGAGGCACGAAAGCGUGGGGAGCAAACAGGAUUAGAUACCCUGGUAGUCCACGCCGUAAACGAUGAGUACUAAACGUUGGGUAAAACCAGUGUUGAAGUUAACACAUUAAGUACUCCGCCUGAGUAGUACGUACGCAAGUAUGAAACUUAAAGGAAUUGACGGGACUCCGCACAAGCGGUGGAUCAUGUUGUUUAAUUCGAAGGUACCCGAAAAACCUCACCAGGUCUUGACAUGCUUCUGCAAAGCUGUAGAAACACAGUGGAGGUUAUCAGUUGCACAGGUGGUGCAUGGUUGUCGUCAGUUCGUGUCGUGAGAUGUUGGGUUAAGUCCCGCAACGAGCGCAACCCUUAUUGUUAGUUACCAGCACGUAAUGGUGGGGACUUUAGCAAGACUGCCAGUGAUAAAUUGGAGGAAGGUGGGGACGACGUCAAAUCAUCAUGCCCCUUAUGACCUGGGCUACAAACGUGAUACAAUGGCUGUUACAAAGGGUAGCUGAAGCGCAAGUUUUUGGCGAAUCUCAAAAAAACAGUCUCAGUUCGGAUUGAAGUCUGCAACUCGACUUCAUGAAGUUGGAAUCGCUAGUAAUCGCGAAUCAGCAUGUCGCGGUGAAUACGUUCUCGGGGUUUGUACACACCGCCCGUCAA